CCUACGGGAGGCAGCAGUGAGGAAUAUUGGUCAAUGGCCGGGAGCCUGAACCAGCCAAGCCGCGUGAGGGAUGAAGGCUCCACGCGUCGUAAACCUCUUUUGUCGGGGAACAAAGGGCGGGACGCGUCCCGUGGUGAGUGUACCCGGAGAAAAAGCAUCGGCUAACUCCGUGCCAGCAGCCGCGGUAAUACGGAGGAUGCGAGCGUUAUCCGGAUUUAUUGGGUUUAAAGGGUGCGCAGGCGGUCGGGAAAGUCAGCGGUAAAAGCCCGGGGCUCAACCCCGGCCCGCCGUUGAAACUGGGGGUCUAGAGAGGGCGAGAAGUACGCGGAAUGCGCGGUGUAGCGGUGAAAUGCAUAGAUAUCGCGCAGAACUCCGAUUGCGAAGGCAGCGUACCGGCGCCGGACUGACGCUGAGGCACGAAAGCGUGGGUAUCGAACAGGAUUAGAUACCCGGGUAGUC
rnacentral:rRNA from 1 species